rnacentral:lncRNA from 1 species
CUUCUUACUAUAUCCCAUACAAUCAUGCGUCAGUGACCCAGGGAGCAUGGGAGAAAGAGAAGACAAUGUUUUCUCAAUAAAAAAACAGGUUUAUUGGCAAGAACCUAGUUAUUUUGUAUAUUUUAUGAAAUAGGAACAACUCUGAAUACACGAUCAAUUCAUUUUGUAAAUUAUUUUUCAACAUUUUGGUUUGUGUGAUUUGUUGGCUAUUUACGCUGGUAACGCGUAGUCAAGCGCAUCAUAAUUUGGUUAUGACAUCACAAUGUUAAAUAGGCAACAUAUUUUGAUGUUCUGCAAAAUAAGGCAUAGUCUACAAAUACACUGAAAUGGGAUGUUUGUGUUGCUGUAAAAAGAAAAAGAAGUGCAGAGUUCGCCUCGGGAUUGGGAGCCGCUGUCCAUCGCCGUUCCCAAUCCCACCCAAACUGACGUCAUUGGAUGC